AUUCAGCUGACGAGUCUCAAAAUAGGACGAAACGUGCUUCCUAGAU
rnacentral:hammerhead_ribozyme from 1 species